rnacentral:rRNA from 1 species
GCAGUAGCCGCGGUAAUACGAAGGGUGCAAGCGUUAAUCGGAAUUACUGGGCGUAAAGCGUGCGUAGGCGGUUUGUUAAGUCUGCUGUGAAAUCCCCGGGCUCAACCUGGGAAUGGCAGUGGAUACUGGCAAGCUAGAGUGUGUCAGAGGAUGGUGGAAUUCCCGGUGUAGCGGUGAAAUGCGUGGAGAUCGGGAGGAACAUCAGUGGCGAAGGCGGCCAUCUGGGACAACACUGACGCUGAGGCACGAAAGCGUGGGGAGCAAACAGGAUUAGAUACCCCCGUAGUCCCUGUCUCUUAUAA